AUGCUCCUUGAAGUCUUCACCGGAAAAAGACCCACCGAUGUCAUGUUCGGCGCACAACUAACUCUUAGGCAGUGGGCUCAUCGGGCAUUUCCUGCGGAUCUUGUCCAAGUCGUUGACGGCCAGCUUCUACACGACUCCUCAAUUUCAGGUUGCAGAUUGGACAAUGGUUUUCUAGCAUCGGUCUUUGAGGUUGGUUUGCGAUGUUCCAGCGACUCUCCAGACCAGAGGAUGACAAUGCGUGACGUGGUCGUAACACUGAAGAAGAUCAAAGCCGAGUACACUAAACUGGUAGCAACUAUGUCAAGUACUGCAGCAUAG
rnacentral:rRNA from 1 species